AGGUGUGCAUGGCCUCCAUAUCCAUGCCUGUUCCCUCGCUUUCCCUCCCUCCCGCAAACGGUGCUCUGGAAAAGGGCUGGGGUAGCAAGGGUUUUGUGAUGUUUACUACAACUACAGUGAAAUCCCGUGAAGUAAGAAAUACAUCAUCCCCAUUUCACAGAUGAGGAAACUGAGGCAUAGAAAAGAGAAAUGCCCAAAAGAUUUGCAAUCAAAACAGUCGAGACCAUGGUUCUAUGCAGACGCCGCCUCUGAAAAAUCACAGGUGACUUUCUAAUGACUUUCUUCUUAGUUUUUGGCCUUAUAAACAAAGAUGUUUCUGUUAGAUUUGACCCACUGAGGAGAAAGAGAGAGGGCCAGGAUGCUAUGAAGACUCCUUCCAGCAUCCAGCCCAGACACUCUGUCUUGGGGAGUGGACCAUUUUGACGCCCUGUCUGUAAGAUGCUCCUUGAAGCCAGAGACCAAGGAGCUAACCAAUUUAUGUUCUCACUGAAGUUGAUAUUACAGAUUAGAUACCAAUUCCCUGGGUGAGCCACAGUUUCUGAAAGAGGGGCUCUGGAUUCUCGAAGCAAGUUCCAUUUUCUUCUCUAUCAGUCUUGGUCCAUGCGUAAAGAAAAGAACAGAAAACCAGGUUUGGGGCCAACAUGAAGAAAUGCUAUGUAGAUACAUUUGUUGUGGUGAUUAAAAGGGCCAAUUCUCAUUAAGUGGAAUUUGCUCUCUUUCAACUGGACAUGCACAGGAGUUUUUUUUUUGUUUUUUGUUUUUUUAGUAUUAACUUAUUUUUUUCCCCUUCAAGCUUAGCCAGAGACCUCAUGGAGGUCUAAACCCAAGCCAAGCUUGAUCGGUUUUAAUUCAACCACUGUUGAUUUAUGGCUUAGCAAAAAAUGUCUGAGAAUUUUUUUAAGCUAAAAAAAUUUUUUUUACCCCAACUUGACUCCCUCACAUCUCAAAUCCAGCUGAAGGGAUAUUUCUUAGAUUUUCAAAAGACAAAGUCAUCAUUGGAAUGGAAGGGAGCACUGAAAGUUUCAAAUCCCAGAGAGAAGUCCUGUGAAAGCGUAUAUACAAGUAAAAACAAAUAUAUUGGAACACCAUGUGACACAUUAAAUAGGUUCAUUUGAUUCCCUUUGAAUAGAAACUAGAAUAGAAUCAACCCAAGGCUGGAGUGGAGGUGUGGGAUGGGUUGGGGGUGUUUUUUGAGGGAUUGCACCAGAAGAGACACAAAAGUUCCUCUUUGCUUUCUCUUAUAAGCCCCUCUUCCUUUUCUUAUCAGCCAGACCAAAAAUGAUCCAUGGUAAAUUUUUUUCUCUACCUGGCUCUGGAAUGUACAUUGUUAUAUAAUACAAGCAGGAAUUAGACUAAUAAGCUAUUACCAACUGCAAGAAGAAAACCAAUACCAAGCCACUGGUGCCUUCCAUCUCUGAUAUUUAAUGGGUCUAACCUAGUUCACAAUGCAUGAGCCUUUCUCUGCCUCCUGUAACAUUCAGGCCGGGCUGUGAGAUUUAACCAUUCAUUAACUGUGGGUGUAUAAUUUGUACCUUCUGUCUUUUCCUGGGUGAGCGUCCAUCUUUCCCAUAAGACUGUAAGCUCAGUGAGAGGAGGAACUGACCAUAUAUUCCAUCUAAUUUCCCACGGCCGUGACCUCCAACCUUCCUCUCGAUUUCUCACACAUUAGUCCCGUGACUGUCCGAGUCCCCUGCCUCAAAAGAACACACAGAAGGAACAAGGUAAAAGGUGCCUUUCUUCCUAAUGCUGAGGAAGAACCAAGUAUAUAAUUCCUGAUAAUUGCAUUGUACUCUUCUUCCUGGGGGAUCUUUGAGAAGCAGGGAAGGGGCACUCUCUGCUAUCAUAUAUUUGUGCACUGUGUGCUUCUCCACUAAGUGCAUAUCUUCAUGAAAAAAAUUACUGGUUAUACAGCAGCUCCGCUCAUGAACGUUAAUACACACCCAAUACUUAGACUGCCUUGGCUCAGACACAGAAUUACUGCUUUUACUUCUAAUGCUUUAAAUUCCUUCCAUGGUUUUAGUUUUUCAAUGUCAAGAACAGGCUUUCACUCAUCUCUCCGGCGACUGCGAUGAAUUCCUUAGAGACCAAGGCCACAUCUGUGCUGUACAUUAGCUUUCUUGCCUCAGACAUCGUCCUGGUUUCAUAUCAGAUAAACAGAUUAAUGGGCAAGGAAUAGACCUGCCCCAGAAAACAAAUGAAAUAACGGGACAGAAUUGUGUUUAAGUACAAAAAUGUCUGAUUCUUGUUAUAUACACUUUGUGCCAAAACACACCCCACCAGUGUUUAUAACUGAAUUUAUAUGAACAACAUCCUGAAAUUUAUUGAGCAUUUACAUUAUUCUAUACACUAUCCAAAGCACUCACAGAUAUUAUCUCAUUUAACUUUCACAAUUCUACGAGUAGUUACUAUUUACAAUUAGGUUCUAUUACUAUUAAAUUUGUACCAUCAAUAUUCAGUAUGACUCAUUCGGUCCUUACAUGAGGUUAUGAUGUCUUUUGUGUGAUUAUCUUAUACUGUAUGAAGACUUUGCAGUGUUUAUUAUAUGUCUCAUUUGUCUUUGUUGUAUUAAUUGCUACAAGAAGGAGAUCUCCAAGACCAGUUGCUUAAAGAACAGAGACAUGUAUUUCUCUCUCAUGUAAAAAUUUAGGAAGCAGGUUUCAGAUUGGCUGGUGUCUAUAGUCCACAUAGUCAUUCAGGGACCUUAGUUCUUUCAUGUUUUUUCUUUACCAUCUCCUAGGUGUAGCCAGUGUUGAGGCACCAGAGCAGAAUUGGCAUCUAUCACUUCUACUUACCUUGGAGAAAACUUAGUCACAUGGCCAUAGCUAACUCUACAGGAAACUAGGACAUGUAUCCACUGGGUACCCAUGUGUCUAGCUAUAGUUUUAUUACUAUGAAACAAAGGGAGGACUGGAAUUUAGUGAGUAGCUCACUAUGUUCAUCAUAGUCUUCAAUAAAUAGAUUGUAAACAAUUGGAGAGCUAGGCCUGUGUCUUAUUCAUAUUUGUCCCUAUCACAGGGCUAAGCACCUGCCACAGAAAUCACAGGGCUAAGCACCUGCUCACGUGCCAGCACUCCCUACUCUGGUGUAGGGAUGUAUAGGGUUUGUGAUGCCAGACAUGGCAAAUGAACCAUGGCACUACUCUUUCCUGAACUUGGGUUUGCCCUCAGAAUAUUUUGCAGUACAGUACCCCUGGAAGCCACUUGGAACAGGUGGGAAUUGGCACACCAUCUGAAUCCUAUUAGCCCUCCCUGAUUGUAGAUAUUCAAAUGUUAAAUAAAGAACCAUAAUAGUUUUCCCUCUAUUUCCAUGGAAACAGAUAUGUUGGUUACUGUGGUGAUUUUAACAUAAGUCUUCAAAUUCUUUGACACACCUUCCUUCAGAAGGUAGAGUUUAAUUCCAUUCCCCUUGAAUGUGGGCCAUUGGUGAGUCACUUAUAACAUAGGAUGUUGGCCAGGCGCGGUGGCUCACGCCUGUAAUCCCAACACCUUGGGAGGCCAAGGUCGGGGGAUCACCUGAGGACAGGAGUUUGAGACCAGCCUGGCCAACAUGGUGAAACGCCGUCUCUACUAAAAAUACAAAAAUUAGCUGGGCGUGGUGGCGGGUGCCUGUAGUCCCAGCUACUUGGGAGGCUGAGGCAAGAGAAUUGCUUGAACCUGGGAGGUGAAGGUUGCAGUAAGCCAAGAUCGCGCCACUGCACUGCAGCCUGGGCAACAAGAGCGAGACUCCAUCUC